AGAGUUUGAUCAUGGCUCAGAUUGAACGCUGGCGGCAUGCUUUACACAUGCAAGUCGAACGGCAGCGCGGACUUCGGUCUGGCGGCGAGUGGCGAACGGGUGAGUAAUACAUCGGAACGUACCCAGAAGUGGGGGAUAACGCAGCGAAAGUUGCGCUAAUACCGCAUACGUUCUACGGAAGAAAGUGGGGGAUCUUCGGACCUCAUGCUUUUGGAGCGGCCGAUGUCUGAUUAGCUAGUUGGUAGGGUAAAGGCCUACCAAGGCGACGAUCAGUAGCUGGUCUGAGAGGACGACCAGCCACACUGGAACUGAGACACGGUCCAGACUCCUACGGGAGGCAGCAGUGGGGAAUUUUGGACAAUGGGCGCAAGCCUGAUCCAGCAAUGCCGCGUGAGUGAAGAAGGCCUUCGGGUUGUAAAGCUCUUUUGUCAGGGAAGAAACGGUUCCGGCUAAUAUCUGGAGCUAAUGACGGUACCUGAAGAAUAAGCACCGGCUAACUACGUGCCAGCAGCCGCGGUAAUACGUAGGGUGCAAGCGUUAAUCGGAAUUACUGGGCGUAAAGCGUGCGCAGGCGGUUUUGUAAGUCUGUCGUGAAAGCCCCGGGCUCAACCUGGGAAUUGCGAUGGAGACUGCAAGGCUUGAAUCUGGCAGAGGGGGGUAGAAUUCCACGUGUAGCAGUGAAAUGCGUAGAGAUGUGGAGGAACACCGAUGGCGAAGGCAGCCCCCUGGGUCAAGAUUGACGCUCAUGCACGAAAGCGUGGGGAGCAAACAGGAUUAGAUACCCUGGUAGUCCACGCCCUAAACGAUGUCUACUAGUUGUCGGGUUUUAAUUAACUUGGUAACGCAGCUAACGCGUGAAGUAGACCGCCUGGGGAGUACGGUCGCAAGAUUAAAACUCAAAGGAAUUGACGG
rnacentral:rRNA from 1 species